GGUGGUCCGAAGUCCCCUCUGAGUAACCCUACCCCCAGCACUUCCCACCUGAGCUUUCACACUGGAUGGCCUCACAGCACUUGUAGGAGGGAGGCGCACCGUACUAGAGCAAGAUUCAGGAUGCCUCAAGCUGACACUUGACUCUCGUGGCUUCCACGGCACCUCGGACGUCACAAGUGCAAACUGACCUCGCUCGGUCACCCACAAACUUACUUCUCUUCCACUCUGGUCUUGGCAUCUUCAACAUCUCCUCUCCCUCUUCUUCUGCAUCCACUCCACCCCAACACCACUGUGCCUGGACCGUUGCUGGAGCUUCCUCCUGCCUCCCUGAAGCCACCCUGACUGGCCAGCCACUCCUUACCAUCCUAAAAUGAAGGUCAUUCUCGGAGGGCAGCAGUCACAUCCGCUUCAUCUCUGGGAUCCCAUGAACACCAGCAGAGGGUCUGGUACAAAAUAGGAGCUGAUGAAUAUCCAAUCAGCAGAGUUUAUUGAGGAUCUGCUACACACCAGGAAUAUUCUUUCAUGGGUGAAGGCUUCCAGGGAAGGUCAGCUGAACAGAGCCUCUGGUCACAGUCUGCCUUCGGCUCUCCUGAGAGGGGACUGGAGCCUCUUCUGGAGAAGUCGGUGAGGUUAUGAAUGGGUCCUGAAAACCCGGGGCUCCCAGCAAGUCGAUGGUGAGUUUGGGUGCUGACUUUCCUGAACGGGUCUUCCAUUUGAGCAGGAGGAGAUAGACGUUGGAGGGGGGACAGCGGGCAGAGAGAAAGGGCAGCCCGCCCUCCACUGUUUGGCAAACGUGUGUUUACCAUGAGCGGACGCAGGAGCCUUGCCAAGGCCGAGGCCUCCACAGGAAUCAGAGUUGGGACGAAGGAAGGAGGAAGCAUUUGGCUUCACAUUCUAGAGAAAGAAGACCCUACUGGGCUGCAGACUCCCCUCCAGGGGCUGUUGGAAAGCGGCUGGACCUCUUCUGCUUCUCCCCAGCCACUCUGCCACUCUGCCAGUUACCAGUUACUAGCAGGGACUGUGCAGUCACUGAAACCAGCACCCUAGGGAGGCCCAACUCUGGACACCAGCCACACAGAAAGGAGACGCCGACACCCCAAGGAGGUGAUUACGCCAGGGGGGCAGCGAAACACAGAGCCUCUCGUCUCUCCUCUCCCUCUCUUCCCACACAGCCUUCCCCCGCCAUGAGCGUUUGAUUAGCUGUGAGGUGUUUACCUUGUCACUAGAUGGAGCUGGGAACUGGGUCUUUUUGUAUCUGAAAGUCACCAGAAAGCCACAGGACUUGCCAAGAUGGUCGGAAGGGAUGGGAAGAGGAGGCUGAAGGUUGGAUUUAGGGGAAAAUGGCUACACCCCCACCCUUCACUGAGCUGAGCACCUUGGGAGCCAGUGACCAGAGCAGCUUCCCCGAGGGCACCCAUUCUGUGUCCGGAGAGCCCAGCUGUGCAGGGGCCCUCGGUGAGGGGCGACACAGAAUCCAAGGGAUGAGUGGCUCCCGGAGUGAGGCUCAGGCCUUGUCCUUGCUGGAUACCAAGUGGCAACUGCUGUUGUCAUCAGGGAGCUCUCCUAGGUUGGCAACGCCAUCCAGGAAGUGCUAUCCCGGGGGGCCGCCCUCCCUCCUGCCCUCCUGUUCUCCCUCUCCAGCGUCAGGCCCCGGGCCAGAGGGAGCCGACAGCAAAGGUCCUUGGAACCCAGAGGAGCAAAUCCCCUGGACUCAGUGAGGAGGUGGGAGGUCCGGGCCAGGGUGGAGACACAAGGCGGUUCUGAGCCCAGACCUGGCUGAGGGCACAAGUUCAGGAGGCAGCAGGGUGGUUUCCCAUGCUGCUUUUGUAAGGCCUUGUAACUUAAGCCCCCAGUCUGCAGAGUGAAUAAAGGCGGACCUUUUUUCA